ACACCUACAGCAGACAUGCCUAUAGACCCGCAUUAUGCGGAAACGGCCCGCAAAAUCAUCAAAAAAGCUCACAUGUUCCGCCGUUCCGCAUUCACGAUUUUUUGUUCCGCCAAGUCUGAAUUCCGACACUAAAAAAAAAUUGACAUUUUAUCAUUAUUUAUUAAUAGUGCGAAUUGAAAAUACUGAGUGCAAAAUAAAAUAUAUAUAGGUCUGUGUUUAUUGUUUACAUUUCAUCUACUUCCGGACCCGGUGUGUCCUAAAUUUACGAAGAAAUUGUUGAAGACUAGAUCUAGAUUCUAGAUCUAGUUCUAGACAUAGAUCUCUAGAUCUACUGAUCUAGUAGUCUAGGUCUAGAUAUUACAAUUAGAUCUAUUCUUAGAAUCUACUAAGUGCUAUUUACUAAUUAGCCAAAUAUUCCAUUCAAAUCCCUUUCUUUUCACGACAAUGGCUCUACUACAGUACUCUACUAGAUUUUAGAUCUAGAAUCUAUCUGAUCAUUCUAUCAUCACCAAUGACAUCAAUGAUCAUCUAGUCCUAGACAAUCUAGAAUCUAGUCUUAGUCUAGACUCUAGGCUACUAGAUAGGUCUAGGUCACUAGACUUCUAGAUCUAAAAUCUAGACUAGAUUUAGAUUAGAAUGAAUAGAUUUCAAUAGAUCUAAUCUAGUCUAGAUUGUUUUUUAGAUUUUAGAUGAUUUGAUUAUUUUUGAUAGAUCAAAUAGAUCUGACUAUUCUAAUUCUAACACUAACUCCUUGAACUGGUUUCUAAGUAAUCUAAGAAACUUUCAAAAGGAUUUAAAAAAAAAAACGUUAUUAAAGAUCUAGACCUAAAUUAAUUAAUUAACUUGACUUAGACUUAGACACAGUGUCACACAGUAAGUCUAAGGCCUAAAUAAGGCUAUAAGAUCUACUUUUCUUAUUACAUAGUCUAAAUUAGUUUCUAGAUCUAGAAGUAGGGCUAGCACUAGAUAACUAGAUCUAGAUUAAUCUAGAAGUAGACUCUAGAUCUAUCUAGAAAUAGACUUAGAAGGUGAUAGAUCUCUAGAUUCUAGAUUUCUAUGUAUCAUUAUGUAAAUUUAGUUCUUAAUAAGUCUAUUAUAGACUAUAGAUUUAGACAUAAAUAUUUAGAUCUCUAAUAUAAUUAUUACAAUCUGUGUUCUUAGACAUAGAGGACUUAUUAGAUAUAGAUUAUAGAUCUAGACUAGUACUAGUAGACUCUUAAAUUAUUUUAGAUCUAGAACUAUAUACAAGAUCUAGUGUGACUAGAGUAGAGCCCUAGAAUUAGAAAAGAAUAGAUAAUCAAGUAGAUCUAGAAUAAUCUAGACUAGAUUUCACUAGAUCUAGUCAAUAGAUUUAGACCUAGUAGUAACAAAUAAAAAUUGUUUGUUUUUUUAGUUUUUGUUCUUUAGGAGGGUUUUUGGGCCAAAGUCUUGUUCGGGUCUCUUGAUUUAGAAUGCACCAUUGAAGGACAUGGUCAGCAUUCUCUGGUGAUGGGCAAGUUUCUCUAGUCCCGACAUUUAACUUCCAGAACAUAUAUUGUCUCAUUCAGUGAACAAGCCUUUUCCUUUGUGGAAACUAAACAAGCAUUACUACUGGUCGAUUUUGACUGACUGUAAUUUGACAGCAGUCACAAGGAUAGAAACUAGUAAGCUAGUUCCACAGUUCCGAAACAUCAUGCACGAGUGUAAAAAGUAAAAUACUGCACAUUAAGUACAACUGUAUAUUUGUCAGGAUAUUUUAAUGUAAAAUGACAACAGCAAUUUGAAAAAAAAAAAAGUAAAAUUGGUUUAAAUAAUUGCUAACUCUUGUUGUAAUUCCUUAACGUGAAGUGUGGGGAAAAAAAAAGAAACGUGAAUAUAAUACAGUGUAAAUAUGAAUUAAAAGACAUUCUACACAGUUAUCUUAGAGUGUCUCUAUAAGUUGUAUAUAAAUAUGCGGGCCGCCAUUCCCAAUUUUUAAAAUAAUGCGGCCCUCGAUACAAAAAAGUUGCCCACCCCUGAUCUAAGAUAUUCAUGUACUGUUUUGGAUGUUAUGUAUGUCGACAUAUCCGAUUUGAUUUUCUGGCCCAAUAAGGAGAGUCUCAGGCCCAAAAAAUUUAUUUGUACUUAUGACAGGAAGAUGACAGUAAUAAAUGACUGUUUUGAAAUUUUCAUUGAGAGACCUAUCAGCGUUAAAGCACAGGCACAAACCUAUUCUUCCUAUUAGCACAACACAGUAAAAUAUCUGAUUGGAACUCAUUACUUUCAAUAAAUGAAUUAAAAGUAUUUAUACUAAGCUUUAUAGUUUCUUUGGAUUUAAUAGCCUUUAAAUUUUUAUUUUUAGAAGUGAUGUUGUUCACAAGAGAAUCAAAUUUAACUUUUUGUUUUUUAAUGAGGUGAUAUCAAUCUCAGAAACCUUAGUUGGCAAAACUUUUUUAAGCUCUGAUGGAUUUAUCCAGUAAGAUAACAAGCCUGUAACUGUCUUACUCUCUUUUAGCCUGGUGUUGGCUUCCAGCAUAAAUAAAGUGUCUGCCACAUUUCUUCUUCUUCUUCAUCGUUCUCAUUGUUAUGUUGGAGUGUUCAUAUGACUAGACCAGUACAUGAGAUGAACUGCGCAGUGGUUUCCAAAUCAGGGAGCUCUCCAUAUAGUUUUCUUUCUAUUGGGGUGAUUUGGGGCCAAUGUCUUAUGCAGGCCUCUUGGUAGAGAGAGCAGUUUUGGAGGACGUGGUCGGCAUUUUCUGGUGAUACUCCACAUGGGCAGAUUUCACUGGUUCCAAUUUUGAGCUUCCGGAACAUGUGUUGUCGCAUUCUGUUGUGUCCAGUCCUGAGUCAAAAGAUUAGACGUUGGUCUUGUCGGGAUAGCUUAUAGUAAGCGUCAUCUUUCUUGUGAUUUGGAUGGGAGUUCGUCCAUUUCUCAUUUAUUUUAUCUACAAUUAAUUUCUUCAUUUCUUCUGGAUAGAGUGCAGAGUUUACUUGUGAGUUUGUUCUCCCACUCUUGGCGAGUGUGUCAGCCUUCUCAUUUCCUGCUAGUUGUAUGUGAGCUGGUAUCCAUUGGAUAACAGUUUUUUUGCUGUUGUUGUUGAGCUUUGUAAGUGCUGUUCUGAGGUUUUUAAUAUGAGGGGAAUCAGAGUUUUGCAAGCUUUGGAGGGUUGUUUUCACAUCUGUUAGAAAGACAAUCUGACUGUGAGGGGAACUUGGAUGAUUUGCUAACAUGGUAGCAGCUAGUGCUAGUGCUUCCCUUUCUGCUCUGUGACUGUCAGAGAACUCUCCAGUUGCAAUGGAUUUUUCUAGUUUUCCUCCAUCUGGCCAUUCGAUAAGUAUUCCAGCUCCUCCAUUUGUGGUGGCUUUAUGGGAUGAGCCAUCCGUGUAAACUCUGAUCCACUAAUUGCUAGGGUAAUUGGUAUGUAGAAAACAGUUCACUAUUUCCUUGAGCUCUGUUGGUCUGUAAUCAGAUUUUCUUUUUAUGUUUUCAAUAUGGUCCCUUGUAGUAGGAAGAGGGCUUUCAUCCCAGGGUAGAGAUUCAUUAUAGUGUAUUGAGGAUUCCAGAGUAAUUUUUUCAAGUUGGUGUUUCUUUUUUAGGUUUAGAGAUUCCUGUAUGAAAUUGGUCCUUUUGAGACGUUUUUUUGUGCCAGUUUUGUGGAUUUUUGUUCUGAGUGGAUGCCUCUCCAAGGUUUCCAAUUUAGUGAAUUGGGAAAGGAUUUUUAUUUCUCUUCUUUCAUCCAGAGAGAUCAGGGCAGCGGUUUCCUCCAUAGCUCUUAUGGGUGUUGUGUUGUUUUUGUUGCUCCUGUCAUUAUCCUUUGACCAAUAUUUUGAACCUUGUCUAUUUUUCUUAGGUUGGUUUGGGCAUGCUGUGGCACCAUACAGGUCUUACAUAACUGGUAUAGGUCUUUGUCAGGAUGUUGUGAUUAGCUCCCCAAUCUGUGCCAGCUAAUUUUAUCAAGAGGGAUAGUCUCUGUAUGCCUUUACUCUCUGUUUUAUCUAUUUGGUUUUUCCCGCUUAGUCUCGGGUCAUAGGUGACUCCAAGAUAAGUAGGGCUGUCAUUUUUUUCUAAAGCUUCCAAAUCUAAUGUUAAUUUUAUUGUUUGUUGUUUUGUUGACAGUAAGAAUAUGGUAUAUGUGGUCUUUUUUGUGUUGAUGGACAUGCCCCAGUCUUUGGACCAAUUAUUGAGUUUAUCAAGAGCAUCUUGUAAUCGAAAUUUCGAUGUUCCUACAUAUUCUUCUGUGCUAAUUAAGGCAAGGUCAUCUGCAUACAUGCUGCUUUUAACUUUUCUAGGAUUUUACAUGUGAUGCUGGUAAGCAUAUGCCCUGCACUCUACAUUCGAUCUUGUCACUGGUUACCCUGCAGACAGAGACAAAGAAUAUGAACAUUUGCAAAGUUGCACUAUAUCUCCAGGGUUACCAGUAAAUAGAAAUACUGUUUCAGCAAGUAAUAUUUUCAUUUCUAAUUAUAGUAAAAAAAAAAAGUAAAGUUCACCUUUCAGACCUUGCAGUCUAUAGGGCAGAUGAUGAAAAGGUAAUCUUUUUCUGUGGCCCACAGUUAACAAGGGUAUCAUGAGGCCAGCACAAUGACCAACCGCCUUUACUUUUCCCAACUAAUGUCAGGUACCCAUUAGAGCUUGGACGCAAAGGCCCCCAAAGAUCCUGAAAUUAAAAAUUGCAGCCUUUACCAGGAUUCGAACUUGGGACACCCAGCUCAGAAGCCAAGGGCUUACUGCUCAUCCAUUGCACCUCCAUUUCUAAUUAUACAAUUAUGAAUAUGUCAAAGAAUGAGGGAAAAAGAACUAUAACCUUUUUUUUCUCCCACAAUAACAAUGACCUUAUCAGUCACCUGCAACUAGGGAUCAUCUCAUGGAAAUUAGAGGAUGGCCUGGACAUUAGCUAUGGUCAGAACAAUGUUGUUUUCCUUCUAGAUGGAUGGCAAGCUAAGGCUAAUGAGCCUAUCCUACCUGAAGAUUACCUGGCUUAGUUGCCAGUUGUUCAACUUUGCCCCUUCAUUCAACAGAUGAAGUCAACUUCAUACAGAAUCUAGUUUUUUAUGUGGAGAGAGCUUAUAGAACACCUGACUAUGAGCUUAUAGAACACCUGGGAAAGAGGAAAUAUAAAAAUAAAAGCACAGAGAUUCAUGCCAGGUAAAUAUAACAAUAAGGACAGAGAGCCUGAUAAUUAUAACAAUGGAGAUACAUGCUGGUAACUUAAACAAUGGAAGAAUAGAGAUGCAUGCUUACUAGAUAUAACAAUGGUAAAAAAAGAUAACA